AAAAUUUAAGAGAUCAGAGUUUGGGGUCUCAACUGAAAUAAGGGGGGGCAGAAAUAGAAAGAUAGAAUUGGCCUGUUUUAAUCUUCCCGGUGUAAGAUACGGAGAUGGUGGUUUUGCUCUCUAGUGUAUCCUUCAGGCAGAGGGUAGUACGACAUUCAGGAAUAAAGAACGGCAAUAAAUAGAUGAAUAAAUGGGGUAAAGAACCCAAGGUUACAAGAGUGUUAGGAAACAUUCCUACCUACCCAAAGGCAACUCACAAUAUCCAGGAGUUCCAUAAAGAAAAAUCCCAGAUAAGCCAAUUUGUAUUACCCUAAUCUAAACAAUCUUCAGUAUGAAAGUAUAAUGGAACAUGUUAAUGCUUUUAAUUAACAAAGCACAUUAGACUGGGACAAAUUUGAGGUCAGAGUUCUUAACUUUUGUGCGACAGACCACACUGGCAGUCUGGUGAAGCCAUGGACUCUUCUAAGAAUAAUGUUUCUAAAUGUAUAAAGUAAAAUUCAUAGCAAUGGUAAUAAUAUGAUAUAAAGUAUCUCAUUCCUAGUGGUGAUACAGACAUAGGUAUAGCUGUUUGUCGCUUACAUUCAAAAUUGAAGGAAAUGCUAAAUUUCAGUUAGAGAUUAGUAAAAAUAAAGAUGUAUUUUUUCUCCCCCAUCAAAGUUCACAUACUCCCUGGAUUCUGUCCAUGAACUUCAUGAUAAAAAAUUUUUGGUAAAGUCUAGUGGGCUUACUCUUCUUGGUAAGUCUUGAAGGGAUUGUGAAAUUUUAACAUGCAGUUAUAAUUUAUAUUCAUAACAGUAGUGAUUAAUUUAAAAAAGUUUAAUUACUACCAAUAUACUCAUUAAGAAUGCAUGGAAGUACAUACUAGUUUUAGGAAAUAGUUUUAUUUCAUUUGUUGAUUUUUUUUUUUUUAAACUAUACCUAUAAAUAUAUCCUAUAGAAGACUUUCCUGUCCAGAUGACUUAUUCCCCAAGCAUUCUGGUAACUUAGGUUUUACUAUGUCAUUCUUACUUAUCACAUACCUUUGCAAAUACGAUGUGGUAGAAGAAGUAAAAUGAAAAUAAUAGCCAAAGAUGAAAUUAAAAUACUGUAUAAAUUUCUUAAUGAGUGUUAAUCAUUAUUUUUUGAAGUACUGUGAGUGGGGUCUUUUAAUUCAUUAUCUUAUCAAAUCUCUUUUAUAUAGAUGAAACACUCAGGGUCUUAAAAUUAUUAACUAAUUGUCAGGAUUUAAACCUAGGCAGUUCGACCUCAAAUCUCACACUCAACUAGUAAGCUGUUUGAUUAUUUUUUAGUCCUUUGAUUAUUAGCCAAUAUUAAUUUGCCCAAUAGUGCAACAAGUACAUAUUUGCUGUCACAACUUCUUAUGCAUUUCUUAGUAUUCCAAGUAAAAUUCCACCGAGUGACUGAAAGGAAUUUUCUAAACUUUUCCUUUGCAGCAGUAUUGGUUAUGGUAUCCAACACCACCUUUAAAUAAGUGGGUGACCGUUUGGGGCUGGACAAUUGUUAUGCGGAGGUUCUUGUUGCAAUAGAAGUUUUGCUUAGAAAAAUCCACUUGUGCCUUUGCCUGCCCUACAGACAUACUUUCUCAUCUGAAAUCAAACGUUUGUUUUAUAAUGGUGUCACUAUAUUUUUAUGUUGGCCACUGUCAAGAUUGUAUACAAGAAAUAAUGACAUACAAAUAAAUGUUAAUAUAUGAAAGUCUAGAAUAUAUAUGCCUGGAGACAA